AGAUGCGCAAGAGCAGAGAUGGGAGGGACAGCACAGUGGCUUCUCAGAAUUGAAUAUGGUGUUAGACUUCUAAAAGAGCUGUGGUAGAGGGAGAAAACUGUCAAAGGAAAUCAGUAACUGUUAAAGGAAAAUACCUUAAACGUCCUGUUUUCAGGCUGACUAAUGCCUUAGGGGAGCAAAUGAGCAACAGAAACGAUACGAGCAACUGCUGUUCUUUCAAAAUACCCAGGCAGAGGAACCGGCAGACGAUGGGCAGCAUCGAACAAACAACUGAGAUCCUGUUGUGCCUAUCACCUGUUGAAGUUGCCAGUCUUAAGGAAGGAAUCAAUUUCUUUCGCAAUAAGAGCACUGGCAAAGACUACAUCUUGUACAAGAAUAAGAGCCGACUGAGGGCAUGCAAGAAUAUGUGCAAGCACCAAGGAGGCCUGUUCAUAAAAGAUAUCGAGGAUUUAGCCGGAAGUUUCUAGUUUCCAGCCAAGAACAGAGACCUACCUGUUCUACCCACCAUUAUUCAGCCAUUUUUCUUCUCAACACAACCAAGAUCAACAAAUCCUAUAAGCCAUGAUUCUCAUCUUUAAAGCCUAUCAAUUUUUCACAACCUCCUCUAACUGGAAAGCUGUUGUCUCCCUGUCAUCUAUGAGCGCAUGGUUCUGCCAAUUUUCCCUUUCAUGGCCUGGCAUGCCAAAUAGCUGCAGUUGGAAUGUUCCAUCAGAAUUAAUUGAAAGGUUGUUGGCUACUCAUCAAUGAGAAAGGAGUCAUAAAAUAAUCCUUC
rnacentral:sRNA from 1 species